rnacentral:rRNA from 1 species
UAGUUGGAUUUCUGUUGAAGAUGACCGGUCCGUACCACGUACGCGCAUCUGGUUCGUUUUCGGCAUCCUCUCGUCGCACAGGUCUGCGCUUUAUUGCGUGGUCUGGGUUACGGGACUUUUACUUUGAGGAAAUUAGAGUGUUCACGGCAGGCUAUCGCCAGAAUACAUUAGCAUGGAAUAAUAUUAUAGGAUCUUGGUUCUAUUUUGUUGGUUUCUAGGACUGAGAUAAUGAUUAAUAGGGACAAUUGGGGGCAUUCGUAUCAUGACGUCAGAGGUGGAAUUCUUGGAUUGUCAUGCGACGAACUACUGCGAAAGCAUUUGCCAAGGAUGUUUUCAUUGAUCAAGAACGAAAGUAAGGGGAUCGAAGACGAUUAGAUACCGUCGUAGUCUUUACCAUAAACUAAGCCAACUAGGGAUGGGGCAUCGUUCAUUUUCGACUUGCUCCGCACCUUAUGAGACAUCAAAGUUUUUGGGUUCCGGGGGGA